rfam:TPA: Bos taurus chromosome X, whole genome shotgun sequence.
UCCCUGGUGGUCUAGUGGUUAAGACUCCUUGCUUCCACUGCAGGGAAAUGGGUUCGAUCCCUGGCCAGGGAA